UUGAGUGAAAUCUUUCUCCUUAAACUUAGCAGCUAAUAGGAAGGCAGCAGCUGGAAUAUUUUUAAAUAAGUACUUUUAAAGAAAUACAGACUCUUUCAUCCUUGGGAAAAAGACAAGUGGCUGAGUGAGUGGGUAAAAUACAGGAAAUUGAAUUGCUAUAGGGAUUAUGAAGCCUGCAUUAUGAAUCUGCUUUUCCUACAGAAAGACAGACUGCAGUUCAAACUAUAAGAUACCAUUCAUUGUAAGAAUUUGCCAAACGUCUCAGAAAGGACUGCAGAGCAGCCACAUCUAUAGAAAAGUGACCGUUGCUUUUCCACUUCUGCUGCCAUCAACAUUUAUCUUCCCGUGUGGACUCCACAUCAAAGCUAACAAGGUCCCUAUGACAUUUUGCUACAUGUCACAUCUUCUCCAAGAGGGGCUACUUCACCUAUGCUGUGAGCCUAGUGACAAGAAAAGAUGAUUUGAAGUGAAAUAUUCUGUCAUAUGAUCCCAGGAACAAGGAUUUGAGACUGAAGAGUUAUGACAGAUUUGUAGUUCCUAUUGAAUAUGACAUUUGCAAGAUCAUGCUUGACCAAACUGAUAGCCUUCUAUGAUGGCGUGAGUGGCUGGGUUGAUGAAGGGAGAGCAGUGGAUGCUGUUUACCUGGAUUUCAACAAGUCUUUCGACACUGUCUCCCAUAUCAUCCUUAUAGGUAUGCUUAGGAAUUGUGGGUUAGAUGAGUGGCAGUGAGGUGGACAGAGAACUGGCUGAACGGCAGAGCUCAGAGGGUCGUGAUCAG